rnacentral:rRNA from 1 species
GCGACCACAGGAUGGGCGGGAUUACCCG